GAUGAACGCUGGCAGAAUGCUUAACACAUGCAAGUCGAUGGGGAAGUGGUGCUUGCACCGUGGCAACCAUGGCGGACGGGUGAGUAACGCGUAAGGGACUUACCUGCAGGACUGGGAUAACAGGGUGAAACUCCUGACAAUACCGGAUAAUGUCAUGGAGCUGCAUGGCUUUAUGAUGAAAGGAGACGCCUGCGGGGAGCCUUGCGUCCUAUUAGCUAGUUGGUGAGGUAAUGGAUCACCAAGGCGAAGAUAGGUAGCCGGCCUGAGAGGGUGGACGGCCACAAGGGGACUGAGAGACGGCGCUUACUCCUACGGGAGGGAGCAGUGGGGAAUAUUGGACGAAGGGGGCAACACUGAUACAGCAAUUCUGUGUGCAGGAAGAAGGUUUUCGGAUUGUAAAGUGAUUUCAGCAGGGAAGAAGUAAGUGACGGUACCUGCAGAAGAAGCGACGGCUAAAUACGUG
rnacentral:rRNA from 1 species